UAGGAUUUAGGAUUUGUCAAGGAUUUGACUUAAGAUUUAGGAUUUGUUUAAGAUUUGAUUUAAGAUUAAGAAUUUAUUUAGGAUUUGAUUUAAGAUUUAAGAUUUACCUAGAAUUUGGUUUAGAAUUUAGGAUUAAAAUUUGUCCAAGAUUUAAUUUAGAGUUUAGGAUUUAGGAUUUUUCUACGACUUGGUUUAGGAUUUAAAGUUUUUUUAGAGUUUAUUUUAAGAUUUAAGAUUUGUUUAAGAGUUAAGAUUUGUCUCAAGUUUGAUUUAGGAUUUAGGAUUUAGCAUUUGUAUAAGAUUUGGUUUAAGAUUUAAAGUUUUAUUAAAAUUUGAUCUAAAAUUAA
rnacentral:lncRNA from 1 species